AAGACAGUGAGUGAGGACAGGCCUCAGGCU
rnacentral:piRNA from 1 species